UACAGAGGGCCCUAGCGUUGUUCGGAUUCAUUGGGCGUAAAGGGUGCGCAGGCGGCGGUGUAAGUCUGAUGUGAAAUCCUGGGGCUCAACCCUGGAACUGCAUUGGAUACUUCAUUGCUAGAGUACUGGAGAGGUAACUGGAAUUUACGGUGUAGCAGUGAAAUGCGUAGAGAUCGUAAGGAAGACCAGUGGCGAAGGCGAGUUUCUGGACAGUUACUGACGCUGAGGAGCGAAAGCGUGGGGAGCAAACAGG
rnacentral:rRNA from 1 species